AGCGGCAGGCCUAAUACAUGCAAGUCGAACGAUAUUAAGGGGCUUGCUCCUUAAGAAAGUGGCGCACGGGUGCGUAACGCGUAUGCAACCUACCUUAAUCUGGGGGAUAGCCCGGAGAAAUCCGGAUUAAUACCGCAUAAAAUCACAGGAUGGCAUUAUCCAAUGAUCAAACAUUUAUGGGAUUGAGAUGGGCAUGCGUGUCAUUAGCUAGUUGGCGGGGUAACGGCCCACCAAGGCGACGAUGACUAGGGGAUCUGAGAGGAUGGCCCCCCACACUGGUACUGAGACACGGACCAGACUCCUACGGGAGGCAGCAGUAAGGAAUAUUGGUCAAUGGAGGCAACUCUGAACCAGCCAUGCCGCGUGCAGGAAGACUGCCCUAUGGGUUGUAAACUGCUUUUAUCCGGGAAUAAACCUAAGUACGUGUACUUAGCUGA
rnacentral:rRNA from 1 species